rnacentral:rRNA from 1 species
AGGAUGAACGCUGGCGGUCUGCUUAACACAUGCAAGUCGAACGGAGUACCUCGGUACUUAGUGGCGGACGGGUGAGUAACGCGUGAGAAUCUGCCCUUAGGUCGGGGACAACCAUUGGAAACGAUGGCUAAUACCGGAUAAGCCGAGAGGUAAAAGAUUAAUUGCCUAGGGAAGAGCUCGCGUCUGAUUAGCUAGUUGGUGAGGUAAAGGCUCACCAAGGCAUCGAUCAGUAGCUGGUCUGAGAGGAUGAUCAGCCACACUGGGACUGAGACACGGCCCAGACUCCUACGGGAGGCAGCAGUGGGGAAUUUUCCGCAAUGGGCGAAAGCCUGACGGAGCAAGACCGCGUGAGGGAGGAAGGCUCUUGGGUUGUAAACCUCUUUUCUUGGGGAAGAACAAAAUGACGGUAUCCAAGGAAUCAGCAUCGGCUAACUCCGUGCCAGCAGCCGC